rnacentral:rRNA from 1 species
CCUACGGGAGGCAGCAGUGGGGAAUAUUGCACAAUGGGCGAAACCCUGAUGCAGCGACGCCGCGUGAGUGAAGAAGUAAUUCGUUAUGUAAAGCUCUAUCAGCAGGGAAGAAAAUGACGGUACCUGAGUAAGAAGCACCGGCUAACUACGUGCCAGCAGCCGCGGUAAUACGUAGGGGGCAAGCGUUAUCCGGAUUUCCUGGGUGGAAAGGGAGCGUAGACGGCAGUGCAAGUCUGGAGUGAAGGGCGGGGGCUCAACCCCCGGACUGCUCUGGAAACUGUACGGCUGGAGUGCAUGAGAGGUAAGUGGAAUUCCUAGUGUAGGGGUGAAAUGCGUAGAUAUUAGGAGGAACAUCAGUGGCGAAGGCGGCUUACUGGACUGUAACUGACGUUGAGGCGCGAAAGCGUGGGGAGCAAACAGGAUUAGAUACCCUAGUAGUC